GUUAAAUUUGAAUCUAAUCUUCCAGUGUAAGAAGACAUAUAGACAUAUAGAGAUGUAGCAUAAGUGGCAGACAUUGUUCUUUAGGGUUCAUUAUCGCCAAUCAAAUAGCACUGCUGUUAUUGUUUCCUCACUUGCUCGAAUAAGCGCAAUAUGUAUUAUUAUUUAGCCAUUAUACAGAUGUGUUUAUAUAUCUCAUGGUAUUGAGUUCUGAAGCAAGCUUUUUGACCAAUGUACUAAAAAGUUUGUUAUGUAAUUGUAAGAAAAUUUUAAUGAAAUUGUUUGACAUUUCGCUGUUUAUUCAAUUCAUUUUAUUUAUACUCUGUGUUGGAUAUAACUCUCAAUACUGAGGUACGAUCCAAUUCAUGGAUAUUCUCAGGAAGGGAGUUGGACCGGGACUCAAAUAAUAACGGAUGUGUCCCAAGAUCAACGCAGUGCGGACAGAAACCACAUUUAGAGAAAAAGAGCAAAAGCUGGGUUCAUCUCGGUAUUCAGGAAACGGGACAGCAUAACCUGGGCCUAUCGCUUCCUUUGGUUCAACUAAUUUUUAACUAGAGAUCAGAAAAGUUACCAC
rnacentral:ncRNA from 1 species